rnacentral:rRNA from 1 species
CCUACGGGGGGCAGCAGUAGGGAAUUUUCGGCAAUGGGGGGAACCCUGACCGAGCAACGCCGCGUGAACGAAGAAGUUAUUCGUAAUGUAAAGUUCUUUUAACAGGGAAGAGGAAGGACGGUACCUGCAGAGGAAGCCACGGCUAACUACGUGCCAGCAGCCGCGGUAAUACGUAGGUGGCAAGCGUUGUUCGGAAUAACUGGGCGUAAAGGAUGCGUAGGCGGUUAAACAAGUUAUAUGUUAAAUAUAUAGGCUUAACCUGUAGAAAGCAUAUAAAACUGUUUAACUAGAGUGCAGGAGAGGUAAGUGGAAUUCCUAGUGUAGCGGUGAAAUGCGUAGAGAUUAGGAAGAACACCAGUGGCGAAGGCGACUUACUGGACUGUAACUGACGCUGAGGCAUGAGAGCAUGGGGAGCAAACAGGAUUAGAUACCCUUGUAGUC